rnacentral:rRNA from 1 species
UGGGGAAUUUUGGACAAUGGGGGAAACCCUGAUCCAGCCAUGCCGCGUGAGUGAAGAAGGCCUUCGGGUUGUAAAGCUCUUUCGGCCGGAACGAAAUCGCGUCCUUUAAUACGGGGCGUGGAUGACGGUACCGGAAGAAGAAGCACCGGCUAACUACGUG